CUGCACCGUGCUGUCAGGAGCCCUCUGCCUCGCAUGCCCGGGACACAAGCAGCCGGCACCACGGCCCUACACCUUGUCGGAUAGCACUGCCCCCAGGGCGUGCAGACGUUGCAAGCAACAACACAACAGCCUGCCCUGUCAUGUAGCAUUACUUACGUGUUCAGAUAUGCAUCCUUCUCACAUUUCUACUCCAGCAAGUGGUUGCUAGCAGAGCAGGGCUAGGACAAGUUCACCACCUGCUAAAGACAUGUCCCUAAUACAACACAGCGACGAUUUUGUUACAUCGGGUCCUUUCUGUGCACAGCUCAAGCACAAGGAAAGAACAUACGUGAGAGAACAGAAGCACAUCGAUCGAGGCGCUGAAAGAAAGCGGGGAGAGAGCUGGCAUCGAGGGCAGGCUCAGGCAAGAGCAUUGACUUCAACCCUACCUCCAUGCAACGCAAGGACUCCAAGCAGAGGAAUCCCUGCUCCAGCCCUUCCUGGGGCAUUCACGCCACCGAUAACGCCUUGCAAAAUCCAGAGCGGCCCAGGCAAAACCAGGCACGGUGCUGUACCAGGAGACUCAGAAGGGCCACGCAGACCGGAGGCGAUGUCCACGACGUGCCCGAUGCCAGCACGAGCACUGACAGCAGCGCUGGGGCCAACCCAAGCGGGGGACGACCCCGCACCACCGGGGCCGGCCACCGACGACCCCACAGAGCCUCGGGGACCAGCUCCGCGUGGGUCCCUCCACCUGCCCCGUGCCCGGGCCCUUUUUUCCUCAACUUCCUCGCCCGUCGAGGAUGGCACCGGCGCCGCUCCCGGGGGAGCCCCGGCGCCUCCUGCGGGGCUCGGAGCCCGACAGCGCGUCCCGGGGGGGGCGGAACAAUGGGGGAGCAGCGGCGGCGGGGCA
rnacentral:lncRNA from 1 species